CCUACGGGUGGCAGCAGUGGGGAAUUUUGGACAAUGGGCGCAAGCCUGAUCCAGCUAUUCCGCGUGUGGGAAGACGGCCUUCGGGUUGUAAACCACUUUUGUAGAGAACGAAAAGUCUAUUGAUAAUACCGAUAGAUGAUGACGGUACUAUAAGAAUAAGCACCGGCUAACUACGUGCCAGCAGCCGCGGUAAUACGUAGGGGGCGUGCGUUAAUCGGAAUUGCUGGGCGUAAAGGGUGUGCAGGCGGUUUUGCAAGAUGGAUGUGAAAGCCCCGGGCUUAACCUGGGAAAGCCAUACAUGACUGCAAGACUAGAGUGCGUCAGAGGGGGGUGGAAUUCCAAGUGUAGCAGUGAAAUGCGUAGAUAUUUGGAAGAACACCGAUGGCGAAGGCAGCCCCCUGGGACGCAACUGACGCUCAUCCACGAAAGCGUGGGGAGCAAACAGGAUUAGAUACCCGGGUAGUC
rnacentral:rRNA from 1 species